GCUUCUUUCUGCCUGCAGUCCUCCCAGCAUCACGGCUACUAGGAGCAUCGCAGCAGCAUACCAGAGUGACGGGGCCAUGCGUUUGCUGGGGGACUUACUCCAUUUGACCAACUCUACCAUGUCCUCAGGACUCUGAACACCUCAAAGGAGACUUUUCUACAUGAGACAAUGUUAUCCAUGUGAAGACAUAGUGUGUCUGUUGAAGUGCCUGAAGGCUCUCCAGGCAUCUAGGCAUGUUCACUUGGGAAGUGUUGGGAUUUGGGACCAAGGUAUGGAAAACGAGGGCGUGCACUGCUGGAGCUGGUAUCAAGGAAAUUUAUUCCUGCAGGACUUCUCAAG